rnacentral:lncRNA from 1 species
UGUUAGACUAAUAUUAUCCUGUGUUGUUCUGUAUGUUAUAUUCUCUUUUCAUACAUUAAGGAACUAUAUUAUAUUUACCGAAGUAUACUAAAUCAUUUUAGUUUUAUACGGACAACACUACCUCUACUGUGAGGACAACACUAAAAAGAGAUUUUGACAGUUAGAGCGCGCGCUGCCCAUGCGCUUCCUUCGUGGACUGAUAAACUAUGUUUUCUUACGAUUGAUAUUAAAUUGUGUUUUAAAAGUGAAUACAAGAAGUUAUUGUGAUACGAAUUGACGUUUUAUUUCUGAUUAAGGCUAGGAGAUCAUACCCUAGCUUAUAUCAGAAGCGGGAAGAACAGAAAACGCCUAAUUACCAAUGGGGCGCGAAUGCUCCGAAUACAAUAAAAUUAAUGAUCACGCCACACUAUGCGAAACACUUAAACGAAGACGAGAUGACCACAGCACUGAUUGCUCAACCGCAAUAAUGUAUCAAGGACUUAUCUACUCAAGGAAAACAAAGCGACAUGGUCAACAACUUGUGGAGCCUAAUGACGACGACCAGACAAGAUUCUUGUGUGUAGAUUACUGCUUGACACACACUACGCCUGAUGGCGAUUAGACACCUUCUCCGCCGCGAUGCAACAGGUACCCGAGACAUUGGACAAUCAGGUAUAAGCAUUAAUAUUUUUUUUUCUUCUCAUUCCAAUUAAUCCAUGGAAUAGAAAACAAUCAUUUAAUUGCCCAAACAUGUGUAUACAUGCAUACACACGCAGGUGCAUGCAUGUAGGAUAAUACAAUUAUUAAAGGUAUGUGCUUAAAACAUGUUUGCCACUUGUCAUGGCAUACAAAUAUAAAACCAGAAACAUUUAGUUCUAUAUACUAAAAACUAUUUGAGCUGACAUUUCAGAGCUUCGGUACUGAGUUUUCUCUAGGUUAUAGAUAUUUUGUUGUACAUAAUGGGUGCCAUUCAAAAUAUAAUUUAGCACAUAAGUGCAGUUUUACAUGGAUGUGAACAGAGUUUGCUAUUGAUCCAUUUGAUGCAUACAUUUUUAAGGUGAGUAAAUGUACAACAAUAUAUUUCAUUAGACAUCCAUAAACCAGCUGGGAACAUGACAGAUACUCUGAGGUAAACAUUUAUAUCCUGAGUAAUUAUGUAUGGUGUUAUUUUUGCUACACAUUGAAUACAUAAAAUAUUCAUGAGAAAAGAGUAAAUAAAGCAAGUAAAGCUAAUUGCAUAGUUCAUGGGGAUGAUGGCCAAACGAUUUGGUGUUAAUGCAUUAUUUACAUACAUUACUGAAAUAGACAAAGGAAGUACCUAUAAAAAUAAGUAAAUAGGAUAUAACAAUAGGAUAUUCAUGAUAUAAAGCCAAUAUUACAAUAAUUAAAAUUGAAAUAAUCAUAAUCACUUACAAAUAGAGGUAGAAAAUAAAGUGGUUAAUUGACAACCAACAAAAACCGUGCGACACAGCUCUUGACUAUUCUAUGUACAUCCAAAGCGGUGAUAACAGGUAUUAAUAAUGGAUAAUCAAAUACUUUAAAGUACUAUAAACACUAAACUGGUUAAUAAAGUAACUAUGAAACUAAAUGCUUCAAGCCAGUAUGUUUCAGACAGUAAGUAUGUUUUACCAAUAUCUUGGUACUGCCAAUAGCAUACAUCAUUGUUAAGUAAAACUUCAUUCCAAGCAAAUAUCAUUGCUUGUUAUUAUUUUAAAGAGUAUCUAAAGUGAAAAUUAUAAAAAUGGUAAUCUUUUUAAAUGAUCUUUUCCAUAUUAUUAACUGUAAAUUGCCUCACCUAGAAAAAGUUAAACUGCUUAUUCUAUCUGAAUGUUGGAUGAUAUUACAGCUAACAGGUACAUUAUAGGACUGUAACACAUUAAGGAUAGUUUAAUCACAGUAAAGAUGCAGCAAUUGUAGUAGAUAUUAUUUACUUAAAGGAUUUUACAGACUGAAGCAUAAUAAAUAAAUAUAAAUCAGUAGUGUCAAUUAAUCAGAAGAAAAUAUAACUCAGUAGUGUCAGUAAUCUGAGUAGCCAGAUCAGAUAUGUUCUUUUUGAAAGAUUUCAUUUUAAUUUGGAAUCCACCACUUGAUGCUGAGACCAGUUUUCUCAACCAUUAAAAAUAACCCGAAGUGCUUAAAGAUAUGUAUACUAGAAUCAAAUAAAUACAAAAUAAAGAAAUUUCGGCUUUGAAAUCUGAAUCGAAAGCAGUCUAUAUAUUAUUAACUUAAUAAAUGAAUAUGGCAAUUGGGUCAAUAAGAGAUAGGUUUGAGUUGGAACAAAACAACAUUAGUUAUACAUAAAAUUGUCUGAUACUACACAGGAGCUAUACCAUCAGAAUACAUUAUACCAUACUGAAAAAGAAGUAUGUGAGACAGUUAAAGAAUAAAAGACUAAGCAAUUAAUAAGUAAUUUGUCCUAGCCCAUUAAAAAGUUGAAUGCAUACCAGGGCACUCAGUAAAACAUAUAGAUUAUUAUAAAUAAACUGAACUUUUAUGGAUGGUAACGAUACGAGUUAACAUUUCUCUCUAUACUCUCUUUAUGACAGGAAAUCUUGUAAUUUCCUGGGAGGUAAGACAUUUUAUUCUGAGACUAAAUUUCAGCACAUAUUGUAUGUUAGACCUUCUCUCACAGAAAAUUACAUGUACAGUUUAUGAUGAUUUUCUUGAUUGAUGUUGUGAGUCUAUUCUGACCACUUAUAAAAUAGGAACCAAGAUUGUGGAGGAUCAGAGGAGUGAAUUCAGUGGGGUGUCAACAACAUCUUUAACAAGUCAGUAAGUACAACCACAAGUGUUUUACAGUCAACAACUAAGAAAGAGCAUUGCUUAGUAUUUAUUAGUUUUGAACCAUUAAUUGAAAAAAAAACUGACUGAUAAAGAACAAUUUAUAUGGUGAUUGGAACUUAUAUUUAAAGAUGAUGACAUCUGGUUAUGUUUAUAUUCAUAUAUAUUUAUUUGCAUUCCAUAAUGUUACAAUAGAUGUUGAAGAGGCUUAAAACUAAGUAGGUACCAUUAUAGGCCCUGUUAGGGCACAGCUAAAGAAGGCAAUACUUUAAGGCACCAUAAAUAAAGAACCAUGAGUUAAACUAGGCUCAGGGGUACUUUGUUGUCACUUUGUUUGUAUUAAAAUUGUUUCUACGGCACCACCUUCAAUUCUGCUUUCGUAUCCCUCAUCAUGGAUAUAGUUCCGAAGGAGCAGAAAGCUUUUCCACUCACGCGUUACAACUUGUAGAGUUAUAAUUUGAUUAAAUGGUAUUAACUAAAAAGAAAAGCUUAAAUUGAGAAGUGUAGUGAUUUUAAUGAAUUGCUAAUUAAUAAAACAAUACCAGACGAAGAAAAUUGAAUGAAUAAAUUAAAGAUUUCUACAAUUUUUAGCUUGAUUAUCUGUUAUUAAUUCUUACGAGCCUCUGUAUUGAGAUGUGAAAUGAAUUGAAAGAUUCAUACUAAUUCAGUUUGGUUGUAUUGUUGAAUUAUUGAAAUAAGACUACAUAAAUAAACUUUUGAUAAGUUCAUAGGUUGGAAGGUAUGCACUAUGUACUGUUUUAGCUGGUUCUAUUGUUUGUUGCUGAAAACAAACGACUCGAGGAAGAAAAUGGAUAUUAUGUAUUUAUAUAUUUUUACCACUACAAUAAGGGAUUAACAGAAACAAUUGUAAUGUUGUAACAAUUGUAACUUGUAGUGGUCUGAUUGAGUUUGAUUGUGUUGUUAAAUAAUAAUAAUAGAAGACAUGUAUUGAUUUAGUUCAACCAUAGGCAUUGCUCUAAUACAAAUAAGAGAUGGACAGAGAAAAAUGUAAUUACUUGUACAUUUCUCAUUUUAUUAUGUUGUUAAUUAUUAAAAACUAGCGACUGGAAUGCUAAUAAAGAAUUGAGUAUUGAAUAGACAAGAUAUAUUGUACUAGUUGUGAGAUAACGAAUAUAAAUAAGAGAUGGGCAGAGAAACUGACUAAAGAAUUUGUAUUAGCUACUUUGACCAUAUUGAUGAUUAAUGGAUACUAAACGAGAUAAAAUAUGUAUACAUGUAUAUUGUAGUCAGAGAUAGAAGAUGUAAUAAAUUGAGAGAUUUGUAUAUUGUCCAGUUUGAGGAUAUUGACAAUUACGAGUCAUUUAUGAUUCUGAAUUUAAUACACGGAAGGAAUUGUGUAAGGACGGUUUUGUGUAAGGAGCCGCUUGUGAUAAUAUUAUUAAUCAAUAUUUAUAGAGAUCUUCAUUGACACAUACCUACUUAAAAAGCUGUGUAUAUUUCUCAUAGCUCUCAAUUCUUCGAAACUAAGUCCUUAAAAAAUAAAUUGUAUAUAUUGUGCCAAUAAAGUGUAAUUGUGAAGUAUAUAAAAUAAGACAGGAUAUUAAGCAAUUGUAUAUUGUAUUGAAGAUCAAUACAAGUGUAGUGACACAGUUUAUGAAUCUAAGGCUGGAUAUUAAGAAAUUGUAUAUUGUAUUGUUAAUGUACAGUAGUCCAGGUACUGGAUAGAAAGAAGUUGUUUACUGUAAUGAGAAUUAUAUAAGCAGAAGCAAUGUGUAAAUACUGAUUUGCACUUUGAAUUAUGAUAGUGAUAAAUUUUAAUGUGUUAAUAAGGAACAUAACUUCAGAGACUUUGUAUAAUAGAAGUUUUCUAUUGAAAUGAGAAAUGAUAUAAGUAUUUUGAUGCCAAUAUGGUGAUGUUGACUUGUACUGCUUGAAUUUGAAUGAGGUACACAAGUCCAGAGACUGGAUACAUAGGAUUCUUUAUUUAAUGAUUGAUGAUAUAAGUAUGUUGUCGUCGAUAUGUUCGUAUUGACUUGUAAUAUUGAAAUUUGAAUGUAUUGAUAAAGUAUGUGUAAGAUAAGAACCGAGACUGGAUAUAAGGAAUUGUUUAUUUGAUGGGGAACUAUAUAAAUGAAUUCAUGUCAAUAUGUUGAUUUUGACUUGUAUUGCUUGAAUUUGAAUGUAUUGGUAAGGUACCUACACAAGUCCGGAGACUGGAUAUAGAGAAUUGUUUAUUUAAUGGGGAAUGAUAAAAGUAUAUUGAUGUCAAAAUGUUGAUGUUGACUUGUAAUCGUUGAAUUUGAAUGUAUUUAUAAAGAAAUAAAUCCAGAGACUGGAUAUAAAACAUGUCGAUUAUUGAAAUAGGAAAUGACAUAAGUAUAUAGAUGCCAAUAUGUUGAUGUUGACUUGAAAUGGUUGAAUUGGAAUGUAUUUAUAAAGAAUAUAAAUCCAGAGACUGGAUAUAAAACAAGUCGAUUAUUUAAAUAGGAAAAUAUAUAAGUAUAUAGAUGCCAAUAUGUUGAUGUUGACUUGAAAUGGUUGAAUUUGAAUGUAUUUAUAAAGAAUAUAGAUCCAGAGACUGGAUAUAAAUAAAGUUGAUUAUUGAAAUAGGAAAUUAUAUAAGUAUAUAGAUAUCAAUAUGUUGAUGUUGGCUUGAAAUGGUUGAAUUGGAAUGUAUUUAUAAAGAAUAUAAAUCCAGAGACUGGAUAUAAAACAAGUCGAUUACUUAAAUAGGAAAAUAUAUAAGUAUAUAGAUGCCAUUAUGUUGAUGUUGACUUGAAAUGGUUGAAUUUGAAUGUAUUUAUAAAGAAUAUAGAUCCAGAGACUGGAUAUAAAUAAAGUUGAUUAUUGAAAUAGGAUAUGAUAUAAGUAUAUAGAUGCCAAUAUGUUGAUGUUUACUUGUAAUGGUUGAAUUUGAAUGUAUUUAUAAAGAAAUAAAUCCAAAGACUGGAUAUAAAACAAGUCGAUUAUUGAAAUAGGAAAUUAUAUAAGUAUAUAGAUAUCAAUAUGUUGAUGUUGGCUUGAAAUGGUUGAAUUGGAAUGUAUUUAUAAAGAAUAUAAAUCCAGAGACUGGAUAUAAAACAAGUCGAUUAUUUAAAUAGGAAAAUAUAUAAGUAUAUAGAUGCCAAUAUGUUGAUGUUGACUUGUCAUGGUUAAAUUUGAAUGUAUUGAUAAGGUACAUAAGUCGAGAGACUUGAUAGAAGGAUCUUGAUGUCAAUUUGUUAACAUGACUAGAAGGCGUAGAUAGCUCCAAAUAGGAGUGAAUUCCUCGUUGCAGUCACAGUGAUAGUAAGAUUAACUUACUCUGUUAAACUUGAAUGUUUUGAUAAAGUAUACAAGUCCAAAUACUAGACGUGAAGUUGUUUACCGUAGUAAGAAUUUGUACAAGUAUAUGGUUGCCAAUUUGUUAAAAUGGCAAUGUACACAAGUCACAGUUUGGAUUCAAAAUGAAAUGAAAUGAAAAUAUUCGCAGAAAUUGUUUAUCGUAGUGAGAGUUUAUGCAAUUAUAUUGUUGACGAUUUGUUAGCAUGGCUGGAAGGCGUGGAUGGCUCCAGUUGGAGUGAAGGCCACGAUGCAGUCAUAGUUAGAGAUGGCUGGAAGGCGUGGAUGGCUCCAGUUGGAGUGAAGGCCACGAUGCAGUCCUAGUUAAAGAUACGACUCUGGAAGGUUGGCACGAUCGUGAAGCCUUGUUGGUGGACAUCCUCUUGGCUUUGCGGUGAGGGGUCAAAUGCAGAUGUCGUGAGUUGAGAUUGGCUGGAAGGCGUGGAUGGCUCCAGUUGGAGUGAAGGCCACGAUGCAGUCCGUCCUAGUUAAAGAUACGACUCUGGAAGGUUGGCACGAUCGUGAAGCCUUGUUGGUGGACAUCCUCUUGGCUUUGCGGUGAGGGGUCAAAUGCAGAUGUCGUGAGUUGAGAUUGGCUGGAAGGCGUGGAUGGCUCCAGUUGGAGUGAAGGCCACGAUGCAGUCCGUCCUAGUUAAAGAUACGACUCUGGAAGGUUGGCACGAUCGUGAAGCCUUGUUGGUGGACAUCCUCUUGGCUUUGCGGUGAGGGGUCAAAUGCAGAUGUCGUGAGUUGAGAUUGGCUGGAAGGCGUGGAUGGCUCCAGUUGGAGUGAAGGCCACGAUGCAGUCCGUCCUAGUUAAAGAUACGACUCUGGAAGGUUGGCACGAUCGUGAAGCCUUGUUGGUGGACAUCCUCUUGGCUUUGCGGUGAGGGGUCAAAUGCAGAUGUCGUGAGUUGAGAUUGGCUGGAAGGCGUGGAUGGCUCCAGUUGGAGUGAAGGCCACGAUGCAGUCCGUCCUAGUUAAAGAUACGACUCUGGAAGGUUGGCACGAUCGUGAAGCCUUGUUGGUGGACAUCCUCUUGGCUUUGCGGUGAGGGGUCAAAUGCAGAUGUCGUGAGUUGAGAUUGGCUGGAAGGCGUGGAUGGCUCCAGUUGGAGUGAAGGCCACGAUGCAGUCCGUCCUAGUUAAAGAUACGACUCUGGAAGGUUGGCACGAUCGUGAAGCCUUGUUGGUGGACAUCCUCUUGGCUUUGCGGUGAGGGGUCAAAUGCAGAUGUCGUGAGUUGAGAUUGGCUGGAAGGCGUGGAUGGCUCCAGUUGGAGUGAAGGCCACGAUGCAGUCCGUCCUAGUUAAAGAUACGACUCUGGAAGGUUGGCACGAUCGUGAAGCCUUGUUGGUGGACAUCCUCUUGGCUUUGCGGUGAGGGGUCAAAUGCAGAUGUCGUGAGUUGAGAUUGGCUGGAAGGCGUGGAUGGCUCCAGUUGGAGUGAAGGCCACGAUGCAGUCCAUCCUAGUUAAAGAUACGACUCUGGAAGGUUGGCACGAUCGUGAAGCCUUGUUGGUGGACAUCCUCUUGGCUUUGCGGUGAGGGGUCAAAUGCAGAUGUCGUGAGUUGAGAUUGGCUGGAAGGCGUGGAUGGCUCCAGUUGGAGUGAAGGCCACGAUGCAGUCCGUCCUAGUUAAAGAUACGACUCUGGAAGGUUGGCACGAUCGUGAAGCCUUGUUGGUGGACAUCCUCUUGGCUUUGCGGUGAGGGGUCAAAUGCAGAUGUCGUGAGUUUAGAUUGGCUGGAAGGCGUGGAUGGCUCCAGUAAGAGUGAAGGCCUCGAGGCAGUCCUAGGAACGCAGCUCUGUAAAGGUGGCACAGUCAUGAAUUCUUGCUGGCGAAUAACCUCUUGACUUUGACCUUUAACUUUGUACCAAAAUAUAAACCAAUUUGUAAAUGUGAACACCAUGUAGCAUUUUAAUUGUCACUUUACUCUCAUUUGUCUUUGCGAUUCUACAUGAUCUUCGCAUGCUUUUACUGUAUGUAUCAAUACAUACAAAUUGUAAUACUAUAUUAUUUUUAAAAAGAGUAACCAUGGAGUUUCUUGCCCGUUCUUCUCCAUAGGAAGCUACUUUUGGAAUGGGCAACUAGAAUCAAACUUAGUUAUAAUUUUGACGUCCAUAAGUGCUUGUAAAGGCCUAAAUGAAAUAAAUGAUUUGACUUUGACUUUGAGAAGUUUGAGGACAAACUUAGUGGUCAGAAUGGCCGAAUGUUAGACUAAUAUUAUCCUGUGUUGUUCUGUAUGUUAUAUUCUCUUUUCAUACAUUAAGGAACUAUAUUAUAUUUACCGAAGUAUACUAAAUCAUUUUAGUUUUAUACGGACAACACUACCUCUACUGUGAGGACAACACUAAAAAGAGAUUUUGACAGUUAGAGCGCGCGCUGCCCAUGCGCUUCCUUCGUGGACUGAUAAACUAUGUUUUCUUACGAUUGAUAUUAAAUUGUGUUUUAAAAGUGAAUACAAGAAGUUAUUGUGAUA